UCCGGUUUGGCACCGGCAGUCUCCCUAGAGUUCUCGGCUUUACCCGUUAGUAGCUAAGGGCGAGGGUUGCGCUCGUUGCGGGACUUAACCCAACAUCUCACGACACGAGCUGACGACAGCCAUGCAGCACCUGUGUUCCAGCCAGCCGAACUGAAGAAAGCCAUCUCUGGCGAUCAUACUGGACAUGUCAAAGGUUGGUAAGGUUCUGCGCGUUGCAUCGAAUUAAACCACAUGCUCCACCGCUUGUGCGGGCCCCCGUCAAUUCAUUUGAGUUUUAACCUUGCGGCUGUACUCCCCAGGCGGUCGACUUAACGCGUUAGCUCCGGAAGCCACUCCUCAAGGGAACAACCUCCAAGUCGACAUCGUUUACGGCGUGGACUAC
rnacentral:misc_RNA from 1 species